UACGUAGGAUGCAAGCGUUGUCCGGAAUUAUUGGGCGUAAAGCGCACGUAGGCGGCUUCUUAAGUUUGGUCUUAAAGACCGGGGCUCAACCCCGGGAAUGGACUGAAUACUGGGAGGCUGGAGGAUGUCAGAGGAAAGUGGAAUUCCCAGUGUAGCGGUGAAAUGCGUAGAUAUUGGGAGGAACACCAGUGGCGAAAGCGACUUUCUGGGGCAUUCCUGACGCUGAGGUUCGAAAGCUCGGGGAGCAAACAGG
rnacentral:rRNA from 1 species